GACGGAGGGGGCUAGCGUUGUUCGGAAUGACUGGGCGUAAAGGGCGUGUAGGCGGUUGACCAAGUCAGGCGUGAAAGCCCCCGGGCUUAACCCGGGAACUGCGUUUGAUACUGGUUGACUUGAGGACGAGAGAGGAAAGUGGAAUUCCGAGUGUAGAGGUGAAAUUCGUAGAUAUUCGGAGGAACAUCAGAGGCGAAGGCGGCUUUCUGGCUCGUUACUGACGCUGAGGCGCGAAAGCGUGGGGAGCAAACAGG
rnacentral:rRNA from 1 species